ensembl:lncRNA
GUUCUGCUGUUCUCUGCUGCAAACAUCAUUUUAAAAUGAGCAAUGCAUGAACAAUAAGCUUUCCCAAGAUGCCUGUUCAUCUUGCAGCUACCUUUGACCCACAACAUGACCCACUCCAUGAACUUUGACGCCUCCAGUCAUCAGUAGUAUACACAGAAAAAAAUGUGUGGGUAGUAAGACAAUAUGUGUGGAAGAGAGAAGUAGAGAUGAGCAGUCUGGAGCUUACGAACCCUCUGAGACCUCAUUAACUAGGGAGCUUUCACCACUUGAUGUCAUCUGAUAGGAUCUGCUGACUGAUGCUCGUAGCACAAGUGGGUGGCCACACUCCAAACUUAGUUGUUUUUAGUUUAGUUCACUGAAAAACAUUUGACAGUGGCUGCUGUUUGCAAAGUUACCGUAUAUUUGGCAUUCUGCAAGUCAAAAGGUGUUUGAUGACGUAGACACAUGCAUAGCUGGACUGGCCAUCGGGCAUACCGGGCAUUUGCCCGGUGGGCCGCUGGCGAUUUUUUGUUUUUAUGGGCCGAUGGAUAUUUUUUUUUUUUUUUUUUUUUUUUUUUUUUUUUAGGAAGGGUAUAUAUAAUGAAAGGUGUUGGAUUGGCCAAUUGGUCAUGAUUGACUCUGGGCUGGACCAAUUACAGCCGAGGAGGCUGGAUGCACCCUCCCCCUUGUUUAGCAAUCAAGUGAUUUUCGCGCAUUGCAUGCCGGGAACUCGUGGCAAAACAAUCCAAGUACCGCAUUAAAUGCAAGCAUUUGCAGCACCGCAAAACGUUCAUUCUCCGGUUCCAAUACCUUCUUUUUUUUUCUUUGCCGCACAAAAAAGGAAUGUACAAAACAAAAGGAGAACAAUGCCGGUCCGUACAAAGACAGACUCGACGAAAAGACAAAGAAAAGAUACGAGGAAAAAAUCAAAGGAGUGAAAGGGUCAGACCCUUACGAGCACACAGAGUGGACAAAAGACGUCAGUGUGCUGCCAACUUUCACCACGCUCAGAUUUAUAAUUACACGGUUCUUGGAGUGAGUGCAUACACUCAUGAAGUUUAGUAACUUCAGGUCACUGCAACAAGCCCAGGUACAGUUUACCGACGGAUGGGUGCAGGACCUUGAAAUGCACCGUGUAGGACGAAAGACUAUUGUACGUAUCAUAAGUUUACCAGUCUCACAAAUCGUCUUCAUAAAUACACAUUCA